AAUGGCAUAACCAAAUAAUUGUUUAGCUAAUGACGGAUUUCUAGCCACGGAAUGGAUCAAAGAACUGAAGACAUUUCCAAUACCGACAGCAGCUCCCGCCAAAGCAAUUGUAGCAGCUCCUGCACCGAUUAAUUUUGCACCUUCUAACAUUUUCUAAAAUAAUAAAUUCAUUCUCUCGUCACGCUUUGAACAUAACAAUAAAAUUUAAGAUGAACUAUAUACUCUCCUCGUCGAUUCUUCCCUUCGUUCCAUCCUUAUUUAUUCAUUCAAGUAGGACCAUGCCCUUGCGCCCGUUCCCAAUCGUGGACGGCGACCGUUAACGCAUCCUUGGCCUUUAGAUUUUGAUCAUUAAGGAAGGCGUCCCGCAGUUGAUAAAUGUCGUUGAGAACGUUCGCGAUUUCUUUUUGUUUUUGUGGAGAAGCAGUUUCGAGAUGCAAAUCCUCGAAGACCUUUUCCAGCACGUCUGCUCUUGGCCUUCGAUGCUGGCAAGACCGGAGAACCC
rnacentral:misc_RNA from 1 species